rnacentral:rRNA from 1 species
CAGCAGCCACGGUAAUACAGAGGGUGCAAGCGUUAAUCGGAUUUACUGGGCGUAAAGCGUGCGUAGGUGGCUGUUUAAGUCGGAUGUGAAGGCCCUGGGCUUAACCUGGGAACUGCAUUCGAUACUGGAUAGCUAGAGAUCGGUAGAGGGCAGCGGAAUUCCGGGUGUAGCGGUGAAAUGCGUAGAUAUCCGGAGGAACACCGAUGGCGAAGGCAACUGCCUUGGCCUGAUCUGACACUGAGGCACGAGAGCGUGGGUAGCAAACAGGAUUAGAUACCCGCGUAGUCCCUGUCUCUUAUAC